GUGCAGUAGGGGAGACUGGAAUUCYUKGGUGUAGCGGUGGAAUGCGCAGAUAUCAGGAGGAAACACCGAUGGCGAAAGGCAGGUCUCUGGKCUGUAAYUGACGCUGAGGAGCGAAAGCAUGGGGAGCGAACAGGAUUAGAUACCCUGGUAGUCCAUGCCGUAAACGUUGGGCASUAGGUGUGGGGGACAUUCCACGUUUUCCCGCGCCGUAGCUAACGCAUUAAGUGCCCCGCCUGGGGAGUACGGCCGCAAGGCUAAAACUCAAAGGAAUUGACGGGGGCCCGCACAAGCGGCGGAGCAUGCGGAUUAAUUCGAUGCAACGCGAAGAACCUUACCAAGGCUUGACAUGGACCGGUAACGCCUGGAAACAGGUGCCCCACUUUGUGGCCGGUUCACAGGUGGUGCAUGGUUGUCGUCAGCUCGUGUCGUGAGAUGUUGGGUUAAGUCCCGCAACGAGCGCAACCCUCGUUCUAUGUUGCCAGCGGUUCGGCCGGGGACUCAUAGGAGACUGCCGGGGUCAACUCGGAGGAAGGUGGGGACGACGUCAAAUCAUCAUGCCCCUUAUGUCUUGGGCUUCACGCAUGCUACAAUGGCCGGUACAAAGGGUUGCGAUACUGUGAGGUGGAGCCAAUCCCAAAAAGCCGGUCUCAGUUCGGAUUGAGGUCUGCAACUCGACCUCAUGAAGUUGGAGUCGCUAGUAAUCGCAGAUCAGCAACGCUGCGGUGAAUACGUUCCCGGGCCUUGUACACMCCGCCCGUCAAGUCACGAAAGUUGGUAACACCCGAAGCCGGUGGCCUAACCCCUUGUGGGAGGGAGCCGUCGAAGGUGGGACCGGCG
rnacentral:rRNA from 1 species